rnacentral:rRNA from 1 species
CCUACGGGAGGCAGCAGUGAGGAAUAUUGGUCAAUGGACGAGAGUCUGAACCAGCCAAGUAGCGUGAAGGAUGACUGCCCUAUGGGUUGUAAACUUCUUUUAUAUGGGAAUAAAAUGUUCCACGUGUGGGAUUUUGUAUGUACCCUAUGAAUAAGGAUCGGCUAACUCCGUGCCAGCAGCCGCGGUAAUACGGAGGAUCCGAGCGUUUUCCGGAUUUAUUGGGUUUAAAGGGAGCGUAGGUGGAUUGUUAAGUCAGUUGUGAAAGUUUGCGGCUCAACCGUAAAAUUGCAGUUGAUACUGGCAGUCUGGAGUACAGUAGAGGUGGGCGGAAUUCGUGGUGUAGCGGUGAAAUGCUUAGAUAUCACGAAGAACUCCGAUUGCGAAGGCAGCUCACUGGACUGCAACUGACACUGAGGCUCGAAAGUGUGGGUAUCAAACAGGAUUAGAUACCCCAGUAGUC